UUCCUUCCGAGAAAAUAAUUGAAAGGCAGAGAAAAAAGAAAGAGCCCAUCGAGAAGGAUUAGUAAAACCUAUCUCUAGCAACUUACAUACAUUCUCGAUUAAAUUAUGAUCCGAUCAAGAACUCAUUAUUGUAACAGAUAAAGUCAAAUUUGUGAGAUCCACUACUAAAUCUAACUUAAAGCAUUGAACUUUUUUUUCUUUAUCUCAUCUCCUUUGCUCUGCUUUCUUCUGGUCAACCCCCACGAUAUUCCUUCUUAUGUGAUUGUAAAGAGAAGAUUUUUCAGAGAUGGGUCUCUUCGAAUUGGUGAAAUCAAUCGAUUGGGAACAAGAAUCGUUCCCAACUUAUCAGGAUUUAGGGUUUUUGCCUCUCUUUGCAGUGUUCUUUCCUACAAUUCGAUUUCUACUUGAUAGAUUCGUCUUCGAGAAAUUGGCAAAUCUUGUGAUCUAUGGAAGGAAUUUUUCUUUAUUAUUAUAAAUAUUCAAACAUACAACAUACUAAUCGUACAAUUAACACUAUAUAGAUUUCUAUAUGGAAGUGUAUUUACUAUCUAUCAGCUGAGCUACUUGCUUUAUCUGUGACUUAUAAUGAACCUUGGUUUUCAAAUACUCUCUACUUUUGGAUUGGUCCUGGAGAUCAGAUUUGGCCUGAUCAACCGAUGAAGAAGAAGUUGAAGUUUUUAUAUAUGUUUGCUGCUGGAUUCUACACGUACUCUAUAUUCGCGUUGGUGUUUUGGGAAACAAGACGGUCUGAUUUCGGAGUUUCGAUGGGUCAUCAUAUCACAACUCUUGUUCUCAUUGUCCUCUCCUAUAUCUGCAGAUUAACUCGUGCUGGUUCUGUUAUUCUUGCACUUCAUGAUGCGAGCGAUGUGUUCCUUGAAAUUGGGAAAAUGUCGAAGUAUUGCGGAGCUGAAAGUCUCGCGAGCAUUUCGUUUGUUCUUUUCGCUUUGUCUUGGGUCGUUCUACGUCUCAUUUACUAUCCUUUUUGGAUCCUGUGGAGCACAAGGUUUGUUAAUAUCCCCCGAACGUUUUUCUUGAAUGUUUUUCUUGACUUCUUGAUGUAUAUAUUGUGAUUUUUGAUUUGCAGCUAUCAAAUUAUUAUGACUGUGGACAAAGAAAAGCAUCCUAAUGGGCCGAUCUUGUACUAUAUGUUCAACACACUACUGUAUUUUUUGCUUGUUCUUCAUAUAUUCUGGUGGGUUUUGAUUUACCGGAUGCUUGUGAAACAAGUGCAAGAUCGAGGCAAGCUUAGCGAAGAUGUUAGAUCCGAUUCUGAAAGCGAUGAUGAACACGAGGAUUGAUUGCAGAUUCGGAAUAUUAGUGCCUGCACGUUGUUUUAUCUCAUGAACCUGAACCACACGGAGACUUCAGAUUUCAACAUGAAGCAGGAUUCAUUGCAGUAAUGUUUUUGCUAGAAUUUUAACUGUUGGUUCAUCAUCUUCCAGAGGAUCGUAACCGGAAUGAAUCGGUUUCUCAAUCUGAAUUUUUGAUUUCUUUAAAAGUUUGAGCAAAUUCAAGAUUUUGAUUAGACACACUGCUCAAACUGCUACACUUUUUAUUUAUUUUUCUUCUUCAGUUUGAAUUGGUUGGGACUACA